UACAGAGGUCUCGAGCGUUGUUCGGAUUCAUUGGGCGUAAAGGGCGCGUAGGCGGCGGGGUAAGUCUGGUGUGAAAUCUCGGAGCUCAACUCCGAAACUGCACUGGAUACUGCUCUGCUAGAGGGCUGGAGAGGAGAUCGGAAUUCACGGUGUAGCAGUGAAAUGCGUAGAUAUCGUGAGGAAGACCAGUGGCGAAGGCGGAUCUCUGGACAGCUCCUGACGCUGAGGCGCGAAAGCGUGGGGAGCGAACCGG
rnacentral:rRNA from 1 species